rnacentral:tRNA from 1 species
GGAGCGAUGCUCGAGUGGCUGAAGAGGCACGCCUGGAAAGCGUGUAUACGUCAAAAGCGUAUCGCGAGUUCGAAUCUCGCUCGCUCCGC